rnacentral:rRNA from 1 species
ACGAAGGGGGCUAGCGUUGUUCGGAAUUACUGGGCGUAAAGCGCACGUAGGCGGACUGAUAAGUCAGGGGUGAAAUCCCGGGGCUCAACCCCGGAACUGCCUUUGAUACUGUCAGUCUAGAGUUCGAGAGAGGUGAGUGGAAUUCCGAGUGUAGAGGUGAAAUUCGUAGAUAUUAGGAAGAACACCGGCGGCGAAGGCGGCCCACUGGAUCGGUACUGACGCUGAGGUGCGAAAGCGUGGGGAGCAAACAGGA